AAAAGGCUCUGGAUGCAGAUGAUGUGCUGACUAAAGACGCGGGUGAGUGUGUGAUCUGCCUGGAGGAGCUGCUGCAGGGGGACACGAUAGCCAGGCUGCCCUGCCUGUGCAUCUAUCACAAAAGGUAGGAGGGGUUGGCAAGGUAGCUCAGUGCACACGACCUCCCAGAGGGGCGGACCCCCAUCUCCAGCCAUUCUCUCUCCUUUGGUUAUGGGAUGACCUCUCCCCCGACCUCUGGCUCCAAGUGGGUAAGGGCAGAGGCCGUCAGACAGGUGUCCACUGUGCUGGCGGGAAGGUGCGAGCAUCCCAAGCGCAGGGCAGAGUUGAGUUGCCAGAGGUGUGCUCUGGUUUGAGGGCUCAGGUGGUAGGAGCUGAUGGGGAGACCCGUAGAGCCUCACAGGUUGGAGGAGCUUAGAAUCCCACCGGGAAGGUUGGUUCUCCGUCUGUCUCCCUGCCUCUUCUUCCUCUACGGGCCCCUCUGCUGCACAGGGGGAGAACAUCAAUCUGUGCGAGGAAGGCCAGGCGGAGCGUGUACCCACUGCUUUGCACUGGCCUUCUCCCUAGAGGGCCA
rnacentral:sRNA from 1 species